UCUGCAGAAUGGAAUCUGAGCCCUCAGUUUGACUUCAAGGCUCUCUGCGACUGGCUCCAGCCUCUCUUGCCCUCUGACCUACCGAAGUUUCUCCAUAUGAACCUCCCACUUCUCCCCUACCUCCAGGGGCCUCCACCUUCCCUGGCUGUCCCAAGUGGUUCACCCUCCAGAUUCAAAUUCUGCUUCUUCCCCCUAAAGCCCUCCCUGACUAUCCACAUCCAUCCCUGUCUCACUUACUCUUUCUGGCCAAGUGUGCAUAUGGAACCAUCUGGUAUAUUUGUAAAUCAGCUCUCCAGGCAGACUGAUGCUCUGAGAGCCGGCGUGACUGCUUAUACUGGGUUUCCUCCUCGGAGCCCAGCGCCAUGCUGGCUGCUAUGCCUUCGGAAUGAGGGCCUCCGGUUCUUCGUCGGUGGGUCCUCAGUGCCUUUCCAGCUCUGACAUUCCAUGGCCCGAUAUUCUGAGAGUGCCCGGUCUCUACGAGUUUGCUGGAAUCUGAGAAUCUGGAGUGUCCUGAGGCAGAUGGCAGCCUGGCCAGAGUCAGUCAAAGCCACAUUUGGAUUCCGGAUCCUGGCAAGCUGACCUCCUGUUUGCUGGUCUUAAAUCCCUGGUUCUUCAGUGGCUCAGUGCUGCUGUCCUUGCCCUGCCCUCCCGCCCCUCAGACACAGAGCAAGUUCACACGGGGUGAGGAUGGAUCCAUAUGUGGAUUCUGGCCACACGACCCCAGGGCUGGUGGGAUCCAGCAGGGGAGGCCAAGCGUCAGGAAGAGCGGAAGACCGGGAGCUCCCACAUGCAGAUGGCUAAUAAAGGGGCAGGUGGGCCGAGGCCUCACUCAGCUCGGGGUGCCCCAGGGGUGCAUCUUGGGGUGCCCCAGGGGGCAACGGAACACUUCUGGUGCAUUUGCCAGUGGGGGCUGGACACACAAUUUGGAGCCCUAAGCAGCCAUGUAAGAAGUUCACUACCCUGAAGCCACCAUGCUGAGACACCGUGAGAAGAGACCGUGCACAGAUGGAGAGAGAUGCCCGGGGAGCUCCACACUCCAGACCAGGCUUCAGGUGCACCAGGAAAGGAGACUCUGACACGACCCUAGCCCCUCCUACGUCUGAUUGUAAUGAGACACCCUGAGCAGGAAUCGUCCUGCUGGGCUGAUUUUAGCUCCUUGACCUGCACAAACUGUGAGAGCUAAUAAAUGAUUAAUGUUGUUUAAA